rnacentral:misc_RNA from 1 species
ACAUCUCAAGACCUGUCUGCUUUUGAUGGGUGUUGGAAAUUGGGGGUUGCAGGAGCUGUAUCAGACAUAGAUAUGGCAUUGCUCUCCUUGAAUGUAUUAGUGGAGAAAAAGAAAGCUCAUUGAACUCCAUUGGUGUGAUAAAAUCUAUCAAUGCCAGGAACAAUGUCCAAGUCCAAGUUUCUCUGCUGUCUAACCCAUGUCCAUUUGGACCAUUUGGACCAUUUGACCA